GACGAACGCUGGCGGCGUGCUUAACACAUGCAAGUCGAACGAAGUGGCGAACGGGUGAGUAACGCGUAAUCAAACUGCCCUUCAGAGGGGGACAACAGUGGGAAACGACUGCUAAUACAGCAUACUGAAGGAGGGGAUUGCGUCUGAGUAGCUAGUUGGAGGGGUAACGGCCCACCAAGGCGAUGAUCAGUAGCCGGUCUUAGAGGAUGAACGGCCACAUGUGGGCUUAGACACGGCCCCGACUCCUACGGGAGGCAGCAGUGGGGAAUCUUCCGCAAUGUACGAAAGUCUGACGGAGCAACGCCGCGUGAGUGAUGACAGCCUUCGGGGUGUAAAGCUCUGUUAAUCGGGACGCGGUACCGGAAUAGAAAGCCACGGCUAACUACGUGCCAGCAGCCGCGGUAAUUC
rnacentral:rRNA from 1 species